rnacentral:misc_RNA from 1 species
AACUUUCGGCAACGGAUCUCUUGGCUCUCGCAUCGAUGAAGAACGCAGCGAAAUGCGAUAAGUAAUGUGAAUUGCAGAAAUCAGUGAAUCAUCGAAUCUUUGAACGCACCUUGCGCCCUUUGGCUAUUCUUAAAGGCAUGCCUGUUUGAGUAUCCUGAACACCUCAACUCUCAUGGUCCGCCCUGAUGAGCUUGGACUUUGGGGGUCUUGCCGGCCUAGUGUCGGCUCCUCUCAAAUGGAUCAGCUUGCCAGUGUUUGGUGGCGUCACAGGUGUGAUAACUAUCUACGCUUGUGGUUUUCUGCCAUAUAACCUUCAGUGAUGGAGGUUCUCUGGAGCUCACAGAUGUCUCUCCUUGGGGAGGACAGCUUUUGAACGUUUGAUCUCAAAUCAGGUAGGACUACCCGCUGAACUUAAGCAUAUCAAUAAGCGGAGGCC